rnacentral:rRNA from 1 species
UCAAGCUACAAAGAGCACAAGGGGAAUGCCUUGGCACCGAGAGCCGAAGAAGGACGUGACUAACUGCGAUAAGCUACGGGGAGCUGUAAGUGAGCGUUAUAUCCGUAGAUUUCCGAAUGGAGCAAUCCGAUUAGAGGAAAGUCUAAUCAUCAUAUACUGAAUACAUAGGUAUAUGAGGGGAACCGCCUGAACUGAAACAUCUAAGUAGGGCGAGGAAGAGAAAUCAACUGAGAUUCCGUAAGUAGUGGCGAGCGAACGCGGAAGAGGCCAAACCUAAUGUAGUAAUAUGUUAGGGGUUCGGACAGUAUAAUGAAUUGUCGAGAUUUAGCCGAAUGUCAUGGGAAGGGCAAUCAAAGAAGGUGAAAAUCCUGUAGGCGAAAAGUUAAGACAUCAGACUGUAUCCAGAGUACCGCCGGACACGUGAAACCCGGUGGGAAUACGGGGGGACCAUCCUCCAAGCCUAAAUACUACUCGGUGACCGAUAGAGAAGAAGUACUGUGAAGGAAAGGUGAAAAGCACCCCGGAAGGGGAGUGAAAGAGAACCUGAAACCUUGUGUUUACAAGCACCGAAAGUUCAUCAACGAACGAUCGGGUACCUUUUGUAGAAUGGUCCGGCGAGUGAAUGUAACUGGCAAGGUUAAGCACUUAAGGUGUGAAGCCGUAGCGAGAGCGAGUCUGAAAAGGGCGCAUGAAGUCAGUUGUAUUCGACCCGAAACCGGGUGACCUACCCAUGUCCAGGCUGAAGUGCAGGUAAAACUUCAUGGAGGGCCGAACCGACUCCCGUUGAAAUGGUAGCGGAUGAGGUGUGGGUAGCGGAGAAAUUCCAAUCGAACCCGGAGAUAGCUGGUUCUCUCCGAAAUAGCUUUAGGGCUAGCCUUGGAAUAGAUUACUGGAGGUAAAGCACUGAAUUGGCUAGGGGCCGAGAGGUUACUGAACCUUAUCAAACUAAGAAUGCCAGAUAAUCGUUUUCCAGGAGUCAGACAGUGGGAGAUAAGUUUCAUUGUCAAAAGGGAAACAGCCCAGACCUACAGCUAAGGUCCCAAAGUAUAGUUAAGUGGAAAAGGAUGUGGAAUUGCAUAGACAACCAGGAUGUUGGCUUAGAAGCAGCCACUCAUUAAAAGAGUGCGUAAUAGCUCACUGGUCGAGUGAUUCUGCGCCGAAAAUUUAACGGGGCUAAACUAUACACCGAAGCUUAGGAUACCGCAAGGUAUGGUAGGAGAGCGUUCUGUACGGAGUGAAGUCGUAGCGAAAGCGGCGGUGGACUGUACAGAAGUGAGAAUGCCGGAAUAAGUAGCGAGAAUUAAGUGAGAAUCUUAAUGGCCGAAAGUCUAAGGUUUUUGGAGGAAGGUUCGUCCGCUCCAAGUAAGUCGGGAGCUAAGGUCAGGCCGAAAGGCGUAGCCGAUGCACAAACGGUUGACAUUCCGUUACCGUCUACAAUUUAAACAAAGGGACACAUACAAAGCGUUUAACCCGGGCGAUGGUUGACCCGGGCGCAAGGGACUGAAAUAAGAGUAGGGAAGUAAAUGUGGCGUAUGGCGAGAAAAGCUUUGUGAAUAGAAGUAGACGCCCGUACCGCAAACCGACACAGGUGGACAGGAAGAGAAUUCUAAGGCCAGCGGGAGAAGGGUAGUUAAGGAACUCGGCAAAUUGACUCCGUAACUUCGGAAUAAGGAGUGCUCGAAAGAGCCGCAGAGAAUAGGCCCAGGCGACUGUUUAGCAAAAACACAGGUCUCUGCCAAAUCGAAAGAUGAAGUAUAGGGGCUGACACCUGCCCGGUGCCGGAAGGUUAAGAGGAGGAGUGCAAGCUCCGAAUUGAAGCCCCGGUAAACGGCGGCCGUAACUAUAACGGUCCUAAGGUAGCGAAAUUCCUUGUCGGGUAAGUUCCG